CGCACAUCGUAGCGACGGCCGGCUGGUUGGUUGCAAUUCGCCGAUUAGUCAAUUAGUCAAGGUCCUCGUGGAGAUAACUAUUUAUAAUGAAGUAAACUCGCGCAACUGCCAAGUUCUUUGAACAAUUAGAUGUAAGAAUAUGUCAAUCGUAAUUUGGAUUUGGUUGAAACAGCCGUAAGAAUUUCAACAAAGUUACCUAGUGAUUUUUUAAUCAAAAAUUUUUAUGUAUCUGCUUUAAUCACUUCUUAAAAUGAAAUUAUCGAAUUCCAGUUGUAUCUCCUUAUUUGUAAUGCUCUUUCUAGUAUGGACAUAUUGUGAUCUUGUUUGUAAACCAUGUAUGUUUCAAAUUAUUGUAACACCACUACUAAGCUAAUUGAAUUACUUUCAUUGCAGGCAGUUGUGACCUGAACCGCCUUUUCUGUUAUAAAUAAACGAUAUUUAUAUUAUGUAUAUUAAAUCUAUGAAUAAACUUUUUUUGUAA